GGUUUUAUGAAGAAAAGUGUAAAAUCUGACCUGCUCAAUGAUAAGUUAAAUAGCCACAGUAAUUUGACUGUGCAAAGGUAGCAUAAUAAUUAGGCUAUUAAUUGUAGUCUUGUAUGAAAGGUUGAACAUAAGGUCUACUUUUUUACUCAUAAAGUUGAAUUUUUUAAGUUAGAGAGAAUUCUGACAUGUUACAUAAAGACGAAAAGACCCUAUUGAGUUUUAUAUAUUGUAAUUAAAGUAGCAAUAGAUGAAAUAUUUAAUUGCUUAUAUUUAGUUGGGGCAACUGAAAUAAAAAAAUAUAUUAUAUAUUUGUGUAUUUGCAAUGUGUGAGAUCCAUUAUUAAUGAUAAAUAGAAUAAAUUACCACAGGGAUAACAGCAUAAUUUUAUUGGAGAGUUCAUAUCGAUGAUGAAGUUUGUGACCUCGAUGUUGAAUUAAGAUACCUAAAUGGCGCAGGAGCUUUUAAAGGUAGACUGUUCGUCUAUUAAAUUCUUACA
rnacentral:rRNA from 1 species